rnacentral:rRNA from 1 species
GACGAACGCUGGCGGCGUGCUUAACACAUGCAAGUCGAACGGAGCUAUUUAUUUCGGUAGAUAGCUUAGUGGCAAACGGGUGAGUAACGCGUAGGCAACCUGCCCUCAGGAUGGGGACAACGGCUCGAAAGAGCCGCUAAUACCGAAUGACGUAACUCUUCCACAUGGAAGAGAUACUAAAGAUGGGUCAAACCAUCGCCUAAGGAUGGGCCUGCGUCUGAUUAGCCAGUUGGUGAGGUAACGGCUCACCAAAGCGACGAUCAGUAGCCGGUCUGAGAGGAUGAACGGCCACAAUGGGACUGAGACACGGCCCAUACUCCUACGGGAGGCAGCAGUGGGGAAUCUUCCGCAAUGGGCGAAAGCCUGACGGAGCAACGCCGCGUGAGUGAAGAAGGUCUUCGGAUCGUAAAGCUCUGUUGUCGGGGACGAAAGAGUAGACGAGGAAAUGCGUCUACUAAGACGGUACCUGACGAGGAAGCC